rnacentral:tRNA from 1 species
GGAGAGAUGGCUGAGUGGACUAAAGCGGUGGAUUGCUAAUCCGCUGUGCGAGUUGUUCGUACCGAGGGUUCGAAUCCCUCUCUUUCCC